rnacentral:tRNA from 1 species
GUGAGCGUAGCUCAAUUGGUUAGAGCACCGGAUUGUGGAUCCGGAGGUCGGGAGUUCAAUUCUCCUCGCUCACCCCA